AAGGAGAAGGGAGGAAAGGAGAAGGAGAUGAUGAUGAUGAUGAUGAUGAUGAUGAUGAUGAUGGGGUAGAUCCAUUCUCUGAUAUGCAACUGUGGCCCUGUGGAUUUUUUUGAAAGGAAUAUCACACAUGUAUCUUCAGGGUCCACACAGCUAUGAGUGCAGAAUACUUCUUCCCAAAUGGAACCAAAGAAUCCUUGAUUUCAAUUUGCUAUGUAGGUGGAAGGAAGGUUCAGAGCUAGUUGUCAGUUACAUUUGUGACCAGGACAAAGAAGAAUGGAAAUGAUACUUCAAUCUUGUACACGUGGCACUGAGGGCUGUCAAGGAAGCUAACUGGCUGUUUGACAUUAGUCAUGGCAAACUCAGGGUCCCCUGUUUUUGUGAAUAGUGUGGUUGGUCUCCUGCCUUCAUACUGAAGUAUUUCACAGAAGACACCUAUGCAAAGAAAACCAUGAGAUAAUUAUUAAAAUAAAACCCUUCUUUGGUCUAGAGAAUACAACUUGAUGAGGUAAACUGAGUUUUAUGAUUCAUUCACUUUGGGACAUAUUAGCUUCAGGAGACUUCUCUUUGCAUCCAGCGGCAACCAGUUUUCUGCAGCCCCUGCUCUUCAAAAUCUCUGCCUUUGCUUUAGAAACAAACAAAAAACAUAAUAAAAUAUGGGCAAGAGAAGACACUAUGCAUAUUUUUAUAGAAGAACUAUAAAGAAAUGCAAAUUUUAUCCAGAUUUUUGGCCCCUGGGUGAGACAUGUCCCUGGAAGUGAGGACUUAUUGGAAAAGGCAGAUGACUGGGAUUAUGACUUUCCAGUUUUCUCUGUCCCCUACUGUGCACGGUAUCACCUGCCUGGAGCGGGGACCCCUGUGCUCUUAUCCUUGCCUUCAAAUUCAAGUCAUAGAUCCUUCUCAAGAAAAAGAAAAUAAUCACAAUGCUUUUAAUUGCUGAAAAAUAACUUAGUUUACUGAAAUUACUUUUUCCAAUCUCCAGUAGUGCCUUUUUCUUCUCAAAUUUAUUCAUUCAUACAACAGGUAUCUGUAAGGCUCUACCCUAGGGACUAAGGGAAUGGGAUGGGUAUAAUAGAUGUAGUUCCUGUCUUCAUGGAACUGAUUAAGGAUACUGAUUCUGAGCAUCUCUGUCUUCCACCAUUUAUUCCCUGUUU
rnacentral:lncRNA from 1 species